rnacentral:rRNA from 1 species
CCCAGUUCGGAUUGCAGGCUGCAACCCGCCUGCAUGAAGUUGGAAUCGCUAGUAAUCGCGGAUCAGCAUGCCGCGGUGAAUACGUUCCCGGGCCUUGUACACACCGCCGUCACACCAUGAGAGUCGGGACACCCGAAGUCCGUAGUCUAACCGCGAAGGGGGACGCGGCCGAAGGUGGAUUCGAUAAUUGGGGUGAAGUCGUAACAAGGUAGC